AUUGAACGCUGGCGGCAGGCCUAACACAUGCAAGUCGAGCGAGCGGCGGACGGGUGAGUAAUGUCUGGGAAACUGCCUGAUGGAGGGGGAUAACUACUGGAAACGGUAGCUAAUACCGCAUACCAUCAGAUGUGCCCAGAUGGGAUUAGCUGGUAGGUGGGGUAACGUCUCACCUAGGCGACGAUCCCUAGCUGGUCUGAAAGGAGGACCAGCCAAACUGGAACUGAGACACGGCCCAGACUCCUACGUGAGGCAGCAGUGGGGAAUAUUGGACAAUGGGCGCAAGCCUGAUGCAGCCAUGCCGCGUGUGUGAAGCAGGCCUUCGGGUUGUAAAGCACUUUCCGCGGGGAGGCGUUACCCGCAGAAGAAGCACCGGCUAACUCCGUGCCAGCAGCCGCGGUAAUAC
rnacentral:rRNA from 1 species